UACGUAGGGUGCGAGCGUUGUCCGGAAUUAUUGGGCGUAAAGAGCUCGUAGGCGGCUUGUCGCGUCGAAUGUGAAAACUCGGGGCUCAACUCCGAGCUUGCAUUCGAUACGGGCAGGCUAGAGUUCGGUAGGGGAGACUGGAAUUCCUGGUGUAGCGGUGAAAUGCGCAGAUAUCAGGAGGAACACCGGUGGCGAAGGCGGGUCUCUGGGCCGAUACUGACGCUGAGGAGCGAAAGCGUGGGGAGCAAACAGG
rnacentral:rRNA from 1 species